GAAGCUGACCAGACAGUCGCCGCUUCGUCGUCGUCCUUUCGGGGAGACGGGCGGAGGGGAGGAAAGUCCGGGCUCCAUAGGGCAGGGUGCCAGGUAACGCCUGGGGGGGAAACCCACGACCAGUGCAACAGAGAGCAAACCGCCGAUGGCCCACGUAAGUGGGAUCAGGUGAGGGUGAAAGGGUGCGGUAAGAGCGCACCGCGCGGCUGGUAACAGUCCGUGGCACGGUAAACUCCACCCGGAGCAAGGCCAAAUAGGGGUUCAUAAGGUACGGCCCGUACUGAACCCGGGUAGGCUGCUUGAGCCAGUGAGCGAUUGCUGGCCUAGAUGAAUGACUGUCCACGACAGAACCCGGCUUAUCGGUCAGUUUCACUU
rnacentral:RNase_P_RNA from 1 species